AUGGCCUGGACCCCCCUCCUCCUCGGCCUCCUGGCUCACUGCACAGGUCUCUGUGCUGUGCCUGUGCUGACCCAGACCCCGUCUGCAUCUUCUUUCCUGGGAGGCUCGGCCAAGCUCACCUGCACCCUGAGCAGUGAGCACAGCACGUACUACAUUGAGUGGUAUCAACAGAGAGUAGGGCAGGCCCCUAGGUAUCUGAUGAAGCUGACCAGUGACGGAAGCGUCACCAAGGGGGAUGGGAUCCCCGACCGCUUCUCAGGCUCCAGCUCUGGGGCUGACCGCUACCUGACCAUCGCCAACAUCCAGUCUGAGGACGAGACUGAGUAUAUCUGUGGUGUCAACUAUAACACUGAUGGCCAGGUUGGAUACCACAGAGACACAGACAUAGGGGAAGUGAGGCCAAAACCUCCCUCCCAUGCCCUCCGUCCCACGGCACCAGGGUGA